AAGAAUACAAUCAGACACACAUACAAGAUAAGGGGUGUCUCCACCAGUCGUGGUAGUCAAAAGCAAAAGUAAUCAAAUUAGCCUUUAACUAGAGGAAAGAAAGCAGCUUAACUUUGUAUGAAAUAGAGUGUAAGUCCAGUGCCUUCUGAUUAAAACCCCGGUUGUUCCUCUCCUUUCAAAUAACCUAGACACAAGCUAGCCAGAUUAUUUUGAAGAAAGAAUGUGAUGAUC
rnacentral:lncRNA from 1 species